UACAGAGGGUGCAAGCGUUGUUCGGAAUUAUUGGGCGUAAAAGCGCGUGUAGGCGGCUUUUGCAAGUCGGGGUGUGAAAUCCCUCAGCUUAACUGAGGAAGUGCGCCCGAAACUGCUUUUGCUUGAGUGCCGGAGAGGAUGGCGGAAUUCCCCAAGUAGAGGUGAAAAUUCGUAGAUAUGGGGAGGAACACCGGUGGCGAAGGCGGCCAUCUGGACGGUAAACUGAC
rnacentral:rRNA from 1 species